AUUAAUUCUAACCAAUGAGACUGCUGGAACAGCAUCCAUGAACUGUCAUUCCGGAAUCGACUGGUACCGCAAACAGUUCAUUGGUUCUGCUCUUAUUUAUUGCCAUCUAGUCCUGUUUGCAGAAUUAACUGUGGCUCCAGCCAUUAAGCAGACCUGAACCAGUUGAUGAAGGUCUUCAGGAUCACCAGAAACUACAGGCAGGUGUGUGAGAAAGUUGGAGCUACAUACUGCAGGACGUUGGUCCUCCAUGACCAGGACUGGACACCACUGUUGUCUAAGCCAGCCACAGUGGAUACAGUGAAGCCACAAACACAGUUCAUAGUUCUUGUAUUUCUAUUACACAUUAAAUAAUAAAAAAUAUCAUGUUAA